rnacentral:rRNA from 1 species
GACGAAGGGGGCUAGCGUUGUUCGGAAUUACUGGGCUUAAAGGGCGCGUAGGCGGGCAAGCAAGUCGAAGGUGAAAUCCCCAGGCUCAACCUGGGAACUGCGUCUGAUACUGGAUGGCUUGAAUCCGGGAGAGGGAUGCAGAAUUCCAGGUGUAGCGGUGAAAUGCGUAGAUAUCUGGAGGAAUACCGGUGGCGAAGGCGGCAUCCUGGACCGGCAUUGACGCUGAGGAGCGAAAGCUAGGGGAGCAAACGGG